GACGAACGCUGGCGGCGUGCCUAAUACAUGCAAGUUGAGCGCUGAAGGUUGGUACUUGUACCAACUGGAUGAGCAGCGAACGGGUGAGUAACGCGUGGGGAAUCUGCCUUUGAGCGGGGGACAACAUCUGGAAACGAAUGCUAAUACCGCAUAAAAACUUUAAACACAAGUUUUAAGUUUGAAAGAUGCAAUUGCAUCACUCAAAGAUGAUCCCGCGUUGUAUUAGCUAGUUGGUGAGGUAAAGGCUCACCAAGGCGAUGAUACAUAGCCGGCCUGAGAGGGUGAACGGCCACAUUGGGACUGAGACACGGCCCAAACCCCUAAGGGAGGCAGCAGUAGGGAAUCUUUGGCAAUGGGGGAAAGUCUGAACGAGCAACGCCGCGUGAGGGAAGAAGGUUUUCGGAUCGUAAAACUCUGUUGGUAGAGAAGAAAGUUGGUGAGAGUGGAAAGCUCAUCAAGUGACGGUAACUACACAGAAAGGGACGGCUAACUACGUG
rnacentral:rRNA from 1 species